rnacentral:rRNA from 1 species
AUUGAACGCUGGCGGCAUGCCUUACACAUGCAAGUCGAACGGCAGCACGGGAGCAAUCCUGGUGGCGAGUGGCGAACGGGUGAGUAAUAUAUCGGGACGUGCCCAGUAGUGGGGGAUAACUGCUCGAAAGAGCAGCUAAUACCGCAUACGACCUGAGGGUGAAAGGGGGGGGAUCGCAAGACCUCUCGCUAUUGGAGCGGCCGAUAUCAGAUUAGCUAGUUGGUGGGGUAAAGGCCUACCAAGGCAACGAUCUGUAGUUGGUCUGGGAGGACGACCAGCCACACUGGGACUGAGACACGGCCCAGACUCCUACGGGAGGCAGCAGUGGGGAAUUUUGGACAAUGGGCGCAAGCCUGAUCCAGCAAUGCCGCGUGCAGGAAGAAGGCCUUCGGGUUGUAAACUGCUUUUGUCAGGGAAGAAAUCCUCUAGGUUAAUACCCUUGGGGGGAUGACGGUACCUGAAGAAUAAGCACCGGCUAACUACGUGCCAGCAGCCGCCGUAAUAC